rnacentral:pre_miRNA from 1 species
AAGAUACUCCCUCCGUUCGGAAUUACUUGUCAUAGAAAUGGAUGUAUCUAGAUGUAUUUUAGUUCUAGAUACAUCCAUUUCCGAGACAAGUAAUUCCGAACGGAGGGAGUAUAAG